GAUGAACGCUAGCUACAGGCUUAACACAUGCAAGUCGAGGGGAAACGACAUCGAAAGCUUGCUUUUGAUGGGCGUCGACCGGCGCACGGGUGAGUAACGCGUAUCCAACCUGCCCAUCACUUGGGGAUAACCUUGCGAAAGUAAGACUAAUACCCAAUGACGUCUCUAGAAGACAUCUGAAAGAGAUUAAAGAUUUAUCGGUGAUGGAUGGGGAUGCGUCUGAUUAGCUUGUUGGCGGGGUAACGGCCCACCAAGGCGACGAUCAGUAGGGGUUCUGAGAGGAAGGUCCCCCCACAUUGGAACUGAGACACGGUCCAAACUCCUACGGGAGGCAGCAGUGAGGAAUAUUGGUCAAUGGGGCGAGAGCCUGAACCAGCCAAGUAGCGUGCAGGAUGACGGCCCUAUGGGUUGUAAACUGCUUUUAUAAGGGAAUAAAGUGAGUCUCGUGAGACUUUUUGCAUGUACCUUAUGAAUAAGGACCGGCUAAUUCCGUGCCAGCAGCCG
rnacentral:rRNA from 1 species